UACGGUGGACCUGGCGCAUCCAUGCGCCAAUAGAUAUUGACCGUUAGAUUUAGGCAAAACAAUAAGGAUAGAUCUACACCAUUAAAUGAUAUAACUUGAAAACCUUCUCAGCAGGUUGAAGGAAAAUCCCCAACCCGUAAAAACUGAGCCCCCUCUUUCACUCCCUUCAUCUUCUUCUAGCAUCCAGCAAGCAACCAACGACGACGACGAUGAUGGCAAGCUUCACCUGCUCUUUACCCCAUCUCUCGUUCUCUCCUUCGCUGGCUAGCGCUCUGAAAAUUUCCUUCUUUUGCCUCUUUUUCUUGGCUAGCCCUCUCAAAACCCAUCUCUCUUUCUCCCUCUCUCUCUCUCUCUCUCUUGUCAAGCGCUACCUCUCUGGGUUCAUUCUGCUUCUCUCAUACCAAAACCCCCAAAUCUCCAACAUAAAACCCUAAUCCUAGACACCUAAAUCCCUUUCCAAAACUGAAAUUCAUUAGAAAAGGAAGUCAGUAUGGGUUUUCCUCAAAAUCUGGCCACUUCCUGAUCGAAUUGGACUUUGAGCCAAGGUAUAAACUUGCUCCCCUUGUUGUGCUUGAUGUGUUGAUACAUAUGGAUUCUGUGAUUAAGUUUUUCUACACAGAUGGUUGAGACUUUAUGUUAUUCAUCUUCUUAGACCACUUUGGACUUUAAUAUUCUUUUUCAUGGUCACACCGGAGCUCUAAUUUUUGAGACUUCAAGUCACUGUAAAAAAACAUGGCCAACCUUUGACGCACUUAAUUGAAUUGUGCGACAUGAUGAGAAUUGAAUUAUGUUAUCGAAAAAGAAAAAUCCUUGUUAUUGGGUGAGAAUUUUGUAGGAUUUACUUCAUAUAUGCCCAGAGAAAUUAUGAGAAGUUGAGAACUUUUGUACACAGCACAUAUAUAUGUUGAUGA